GACAUCAAAGGAAUGCAUUACCACUUCCAGCUUAAAGUUUCUUCAAGCGAAAAAUUCUUUGGAUAACAAAAAGAAAUGCAGCAGUGCAUGUUUCCCCGUAUAUAGACACCUGCAGCUGAAGGAGCCUCAGUCCUCUCAGGCCACAGGCCGUCCUCAGAUGUGCCCACGAGGACCUGAGCAGAAUUCCCUAUGACUUCACUGGAGAUCCUUCAGGCUGCACAGCCAGCAUCCUUGAGUUAUUCUGAAAAUUAGAUGGAAUGUUCAGAAGAACAAAGUACAAAGAUGGAAAGCAGAUGAGAAAAGUGAUGCUUAGAGGCCUUUAUCUCAAGGCUACAUCAGGAGAAGCUGGUCGGUUUGGAUGGACCGAGAGGACAGGCAGCGUUAACGUCAGAAAAGUCAACCAUCUUCACAAGGAAGGAUGCAGAGGCUCCUGUUUCCAUGGUGAUGGGGCGGCUGGCACACUGCACGCCAAGUGUAGGCGAUGCAGAGAAUUGGCUCAGGAUCGAAAGGUGUCGCAGCGGGACCCAGGAAAAAAGGGAUCAAUGAGAAAGCCAGGUCUGAGAGACCGGACCUCCCUGGAGCUACAGAUGCGCCUCCACAGCCGUCUUGUCCCUGCCUCCCUAACUGCUAGCCUGGGACACCCGAACCAUGGGGAAGAAGCACAGCCGCUCCAGAUUCAAGCCAGGUUACAGGCUGGAAGCCUGUCCCCUGGGUGUGUGUGUGGGGAGGGGGGAAUCUUCUCCUUUCACCUCCCCUUUGCCUCGCAGCCCUCGGUUCCUGCGUGGGGACCUCGGUCUUGGACUCUCCCCGGGUCGAUGAAGCUGAGCAGCCAGCAGGGGGCAGAGUCUCCCUCUGCGGAAGGAGCGCCUAAGUGCUCGCACCCCCUGCUUCAGGGUUAUUUUCAGCUGACAGGCUGCAAAGGCGCAGUAGGUGGAUUUCAGGACAGGAGACGGGUGCUGGCAGGGGCUGGGAACCACUGAAGUACCAGUCUUAAGCAGUGGGCCCAGCUGAGAAGACGGUACUUGGGGGUCACCAGACAGCGGGCUGAAAUAAUCAACGUUUAAAAAUCUUCCCCUCAGUUUUCUUUUGAGCUUUUUGUUGUUGUUGUUGUUGCAGUUUUUUCUCAUUGAAAAAAACAUCCUAAUGCGGGGGAGGCUUAUUCAUUCAGUAAGUGUUUAUCGAGUAUACAACUGUUACAGAUAGAUACAGCCAUUCAGAACAAUUAUUUAUAAAAUGUACGAUGAUUCUUAACCUUUUGU